UGAGGAAUAUUGCACAAUGGGCGAAAGCCUGAUGCAGCAACGCCGCGUGAGGGACGAAGGCCUUCGGGUCGUAAACCUCUUUUCUGGGGGACGAGUAAGGACGGUACUCCAGGAAUAAGUCUCGGCUAACUACGUGCCAGCAGCCGCGGUAAAACGUAGGAGGCGAGCGUUAUCCGGAUUUACUGGGCGUAAAGCGUACGCAGGUGGCUUCGUUAGUCGGACAUGAAAGCUCCUGGCUUAACUGGGAGAGGUUGUUCGAUACUGCGGGGCUUGAGAUUGGGAGAGGGACGUGGAAUUAACGGUGUAGUGGUGGAAUGCGUAGAUAUGGGGAGGAACACCAGUGGCGCGAGGGGCGUCGUGGCCCACACCUGACGCUGGGGUACGAAAGCGUGGGUAG
rnacentral:rRNA from 1 species